GACCGGAUUUAUAGAAUAAUUUUAAGAUUUAAAAAAUGAGUGAAAUUCCAAAAGGGAACAUGGGAUCAACAUUAUUAUGCAUCAUUACACGUAAGGAGAAAGUGCCAAAAAAAGACAGAUUAUAACAUUUUAUUUUAUUUUUUUUAUAAAUAAUGACAUAUUGUAGAUAUGAUUUUUGUGAUCCAAUCAAAAUAUCAUUAUUUUUAUAUACUUUUUAACAUUGAGUAAUUUUCAAAAUCAAGUAAGUUUAAAAACGAAUUAGUAAGUCCAGUUAUAUUUGUUUUAUAUUUAGUCACGAUGAAUGAUGUUCAGAUGACCUGCUAUUAUAAUUUUAUCUCAAAAAUAUUUAUAGGGGUAUUAGAAUUAGAUUUUAAGAAAUAGCGAAUGCAGUUAAUUAUGGCUCGGUGGACCAGGUCCAGAUAAUAUUUUUCUCAAUGGAUUAGGGGAAUGGUUUGAGGAGGGAAUUUUGGGUUGAAUUAAAAAUAAAAAAUAAAAAUAAAAAUAAAAAAAAACGGUUGUAGCAUGAAUGGGG
rnacentral:lncRNA from 1 species